rnacentral:rRNA from 1 species
GGGUCCGCACAAGCGGUGGAGCAUGCGGUUUAAUUCGAUGAUACGCGAGGAACCUUACCUGGGCUCGAACGCUACUUGACCGAUCUUGAAAGGGAUCUUCUCUUCGGAGCAGGUAGUGAGGUGCUGCAUGGUUGUCGUCAGCUCGUGCCGUGAGUGUUGGGUUAAGUCCCGCAACGAGCGCAACCCCUAUCUUCAGUUGCCAGCACGUAAUGGUGGGGACUUUGGAGAGACUGCCUCCGUAAGGAGUGAGGAAGGAAGGGACGACGUCAAAUCAUCAUGGCCUUUAUGCCCAGGGCUACACACGUGCUACAAUGGUAGGUACAGAGGGGAGCGAAGUCGCGAGGCGGAGCGAA